UAUGUAGGUGGUUAAGUAAGUCGAGCGUGAAAUCCAUUGGCUCAACCAAUGAACUGCACUCGAAACUGCAUAACUUGAGUUCAGGAGAGGAAAGCGGAAUUCCCGGUGUAAGAGUGAAAUCUGUAGAGAUCGGGAGGAACACCAGUGGCGAAGGCGGCUUUCUAGACUGAUACUGACACUGAAAUACGAAAGCUAGGGGAGCAAACAGGAUUAGAUACCCUGGUAGUCC
rnacentral:rRNA from 1 species